rnacentral:rRNA from 1 species
AGGGCGCACGGUGGAUGCCUUGGCACUAGAAGCCGAUGAAGGACGUGACUAACGACGAAAUGCUUUGGGGAGCUGUAAGUGAGCAAUGAUCCAGAGAUGUCCGAAUGGGGGAACCCGGCAGGUAAUGCCUGUCACUCAUUACUGUUAAGGUAAUGUAGAGGAAGACGCAGUGAACUGAAACAUCUAAGUAGCUGUAGGAAGAGAAAGCAAAAGCGAUUGCCUUAGUAGCGGCGAGCGAAACGGCAAGAGGGCAAACCGAAGAGUUUACUCUUCGGGGUUGUAGGACUGCAACGUGGACUUAAAGAUUAUAGAAGAACUACCUGGGAAGGUAGGCCAAAGAGAGUAAUAGCCUCGUAUUCGAAAUAGUCUUUAUACCUAGCAGUAUCCUGAGUACGGCGAGACACGAGAAAUCUCGUCGGAAUCUGGGAGGACCAUCUCCCAACCCUAAAUACUCUCUAGUGACCGAUAGUGAACCAGUACCGUGAGGGAAAGGUGAAAAGCACCCCGGGAGGGGAGUGAAAUAGAACCUGAAACCGUGUGCCUACAACAAGUUCGAGCCCGUUAAUGGGUGAGAGCGUGCCUUUUGUAGAAUGAACCGGCGAGUUACGAUAUGAUGCGAGGUUAAGUUGAAGAGACGGAGCCGUAGGGAAACCGAGUCUUAAUAGGGCGCAUUAGUAUCAUGUCGUAGACCCGAAACCAUGUGACCUACCCAUGAGCAGGUUGAAGGUGAGGUAAAACUCACUGGAGGACCGAACCAGGGCACGUUGAAAAGUGCUUGGAUGACUUGUGGGUAGCGGAGAAAUUCCAAACGAACUUGGAGAUAGCUGGUUCUCUCCGAAAUAGCUUUAGGGCUAGCGUCGAUGUUAAGUCUCUUGGAGGUAGAGCACUGUUUGGGUGAGGGGUCCAUCCCGGAUUACCAAUCUCAGAUAAACUCCGAAUGCCAAUGAGAUAUAAUCGGCAGUCAGACUGCGAGUGCUAAGAUCCGUAGUCGAAAGGGAAACAGCCCAGACCACCAGCUAAGGUCCCAAAAUAUAUGUUAAGUGGAAAAGGAUGUGGGGUUGCACAGACAACUAGGAUGUUAGCUUAGAAGCAGCUAUUCAUUCAAAGAGUGCGUAAUAGCUCACUAGUCGAGUGACCCUGCGCCGAAAAUGUACCGGGGCUAAAACAUAUUACCGAAGCUGUGGAUACCUUUAUAGGUAUGGUAGGAGAGCGUUCUAUGUGCGAAGAAGGUGUACCGUGAGGAGUGCUGGAGCGCAUAGAAGUGAGAAUGCCGGUAUGAGUAGCGAAAGACAGGUGAGAAUCCUGUCCACCGUAAGACUAAGGUUUCCAGGGGAAGGCUCGUCCGCCCUGGGUUAGUCGGGACCUAAGGAGAGACCGAAAGGUGUAUCCGAUGGACAACAGGUUGAUAUUCCUGUACUAGAGUAUAUAGUGAUGGAGGGACGCAGUAGGCUAACUAAACCAGACGAUUGGAAGUGUCUGGCCAAGCAGUGAGGUGUGAUAUGAGUCAAAUGCUUAUAUCUUUAACAUUGAGCUGUGAUGGGGAGCGAAGUUUAGUAGCGAAGUUAGUGAUGUCACACUGCCGAGAAAAGCUUCUAGCGUUAAUUAUACUCUACCCGUACCGCAAACCGACACAGGUAGUCGAGGCGAGUAGCCUCAGGUGAGCGAGAGAACUCUCGUUAAGGAACUCGGCAAAAUGGCCCCGUAACUUCGGGAGAAGGGGCGCUGACUGAUGGUCAGCCGCAGUGAAUAGGCCCAAGCAACUGUUUAUCAAAAACACAGCUCUCUGCUAAAUCGUAAGAUGAUGUAUAGGGGGUGACGCCUGCCCGGUGCUGGAAGGUUAAGAGGAGUGCUUAGCGUAAGCGAAGGCAUGAAUUGAAGCCCCAGUAAACGGCGGCCGUAACUAUAACGGUCCUAAGGUAGCGAAAUUCCUUGUCGGGUAAGUUCCGACCCGCACGAAAGGCGUAAUGAUUUGGGCACUGUCUCAACGAGAGACUCGGUGAAAUUUUAGUACCUGUGAAGAUGCAGGUUACCCGCGACAGGACGGAAAGACCCCAUGGAGCUUUACUGCAGUUUGAUAUUGAGUAUCUGUACCACAUGUACAGGAUAGGUAGGAGCCUAUGACCUCGGGACGCCAGUUUCGAGUGAGGCGUUGUUGGGAUACUACCCUUGUGUUAUGGCUACUCUAACCCAGAUAGGUUAUCCCUAUCGGAGACAGUGUCUGACGGGCAGUUUGACUGGGGCGGUCGCCUCCUAAAAGGUAACGGAGGCGCCCAAAGGUUCCCUCAGAAUGGUUGGAAAUCAUUCGCAGAGUGUAAAGGUAUAAGGGAGCUUGACUGCGAGAGCUACAACUCGAGCAGGGACGAAAGUCGGGCUUAGUGAUCCGGUGGUUCCGUAUGGAAGGGCCAUCGCUCAACGGAUAAAAGCUACCCUGGGGAUAACAGGCUUAUCUCCCCCAAGAGUUCACAUCGACGGGGAGGUUUGGCACCUCGAUGUCGGCUCAUCGCAUCCUGGGGCUGUAUUCGGUCCCAAGGGUUUGGCUGUUCGCCAAUUAAAGCGGCACGCGAGCUGGGUUCAGAACGUCGUGAGACAGUUCGGUCCCUAUCCGUCGCGGGCGUAGGAAAUUUGAGAGGAUCUGCUCCUAGUACGAGAGGACCAGAGUGGACUUACCGCUGGUGUACCAGUUGUUCUGCCAAGAGCAUCGCUGGGUAGCUAUGUAGGGAAGGGAUAAACGCUGAAAGCAUCUAAGUGUGAAGCCCACCUCAAGAUGAGAUUUCCCAUGAUUUU